rnacentral:rRNA from 1 species
CGGACGGGUGAGUAAUGUCUGGGAAACUGCCCGAUGGAGGGGGAUAACUACUGGAAACGGUAGCUAAUACCGCAUAACGUCGCAAGACCAAAGAGGGGGACCUCCGGGCCUCGCGCCAUCAGAUGAACCCAUAUGGGAUUAGCUAGUAGGUAAGGUAACGGCUUACCUAGGCGACGAUCCCUAGCUGGUCUGAGAGGAUGAUCAGCCACACUGGGACUGAGACACGGCCCAG